UGUGUGUGAGAUUAGCCAACAUUGAACUAACACCUAUAUUAGAAUACAACCAAUCAAGUCUUGUUGAUUUAUUCAUAGUCCCAACCCUCUUGUGGUCAUUUUUCCUCACACCUCUCGUGUAACAAUCACUCCUUAUGCUUUUCUCUCCAAUCUUGAGGUAUUUCUAGUACAUAAGGGGUUCCUAAAAAUCAUUAUGAUGCAUUUUUCCGCACAAGUGUUAAGAAUUAGAUACUUGUAAAUCUAGAAAGAGAGAUAGUAAGUCUUUCUCAUAACCACACCGCCAAUCUCUAGAAUUCAAAUCUCAAAGUCAUUACUAGGCACAUCUCACUUUUGAUAAUUUAUAUCUCAAUUUUUCUUC
rnacentral:lncRNA from 1 species